AGGACAAACGCUGGCGGGGUGCAUGAGACAUGCAAGUCGAACGAGGUGCCAUCGGGCUUGCUCGAUGGUUACCUAGUGGCGGACGGCUGAGUAACGCGUAGGUGACCUACCCGGAAGUGGGGAAUAACUGCCCGAAAGGGUGGCUAAUACCGCAUGUGGUCGGCGAUUCGAUUCGCCGUCUAAAGGAGCAAUUCGCUUCCGGAGGGGCCUGCGUCCGAUUAGCUAGUUGGUGGGGUAACGGCUCACCAAGGCGACGAUCGGUAGCUGGUCUGAGAGGAUGAUCAGCCAGACUGGGACUGAGAACGGCCCAGACUCCUACGGGAGGCAGCAGUCGGGAAUUUUUGCCCAAUGGACGAAAGUCUGAGGCAGCAACUCCGCGUGAGGGAUGAAGGCUCUCGGGUCGUAAACCUCUUUUCUCUAGGGAAGAUCCAAGACGGUACCUGAGGAAUAAGCGACGGCUAACUACGUGCCAGCAGCCGC
rnacentral:rRNA from 1 species